GAUGAGAACGUAGCGAAAUGCGAUACUUGGUGUGAAUUGCAGAAUCCCGUGAACCAUCGAGUCUUUGAACGCAAGUUGCGCCUCAAGCCAUUAGGUUGAGGGCACGUCUGCCUGGGCGUCACAUAUCGUUGCCUGAUGCCAGUUUCCUCGUGAUGGGUGACUGUGCAGGGCGAAUGAUGGCUUCCCGUGAGCAUUGUUGCCUCAUGGUUGGUUGAAAAUUGAGUCCUUGGUAGGGAGCGCCGUGAUAGAUGGUGGUUGAGUGACGAACGAGACCCAAUCAUGUGAGACCCCUACCGAAUUUGGCCUUCAUGACCCACAUGCGUCUUUGGAACGCUCAUGACGAGACCUCAGGUCAGGCGGGGCUACCCGCUGAGUUUAAGCAUAUCAAUAAGCGGAGGA
rnacentral:misc_RNA from 1 species